rnacentral:rRNA from 1 species
CCUACGGGUGGCAGCAGUGGGGAAUAUUUCACAAUGGGGGAAACCCUGAUGCAGCAACGCCGCGUGAAGGAAGACGGUUUUCGGAUUGUAAACUUCUGUUCUUAGUGAAGAAUAAUGACGGUAGCUAAGGAGCAAGCCACGGCUAACUACGUGCCAGCAGCCGCGGGAAUACGUAGGUGGCAAGCGGUGGUCGGAAGUACUGGGUGGAAAGGGAGCGCAGGCGGGAAGCCAAGUCAGCUGUGAAAGCUACGGGCUUAACUUGUAGACUGCAGAUGAAACUGGUUGUCUUGAGUGAAGUAGAGGGUGGCGGAAUUCCGAGUGUAGCGGUGAAAUGCGUAGAUAUUCGGAGGAACACCGGUGGCGAAGGCGGCCAACUGGGCUUUAACUGACGCUGAGGCUCGAAAGUGUGGGGAGCAAACAGGAUUAGAUACCCUUGUAGUC